UACAGCAGAAAGAGAAUCCUUCUUCAGGGGAGGAAUGAGGCUGAGCAGGAGAAACAGGAGUGAUAGGCAUGAGAGACACUAAUUUACGUAAGCCGCUGAGUGCUACAGAGGGAAUGCCCUGCAGAGCACAAUCAGUUCAGGAGAAAGAUAGAUAAAGAACAGAGAUGGGCUAUUUGCUGGGGAUGGAGGUUAUUUGCUGGGAGCCAAGUGGGUGAGCAUACAUGAAUUCAUUGCAUGGGUCUAAGAUGUGGGGUACAGCAAAGAGCGGGGAAGUGAGUGGGUAAAGUCAGGGAAGACAAAGUAGGAAGAGAAAGUAGGAGUGGGACUCCAAUAGUAGAUAGUAGAAGCUGUAAUCACAGGAAAUAAUAGCUGCAUGGAUUUUGAGAGCUUAGGUGUCUGUUUAAAAAUGCAGACAUGGUAUCCAAAACAACUGAGUUAACUGGUCUGUGUAGCUCCAUCUGCAGAACAGGGAUGGCCUAAGUACUAGGGGAGCUGAGGAUGGGUGUGCAUCUCUCAGGCAGGGGCACAGCUGCAGUUCCUCAGAAGUUCACCCCAUGUCCUUCCAGCAUUCCUGGGAUUCAGCUGGAGUGCUGUACUCCUGACGGGGCUGAAUUCUGUUCCUCGGAACAUAGAGCCAAGGAAUGGCACUCUGUGCAGACAGCACUGAGAGAAGGAACAGUGGGGCAGAGAGGGCUGCCCUGGGAGAGUGUUUGAAACCUGUUAGUGGGAAGAAGGAUAUGCGUAUGGAUGGACAUAGGAAAUCCUAGAAGCAUCACAAUGUGAGGGAGGAGGGUGAGGUGCAAAGGCUCCAGAGUUGACUUGUCAAGAAAAACAAGAAACUGGGAGAUAAGAGAGGGAAGUGCAGGGCUUGCUGUGGAGAAGCGAAGACACCUUCUCCAGGGAGAAGGUGGGACCAUGCUGAAGGAUUCUCUGAAAAUCAUUAGCGGCACAGCCUCAGAGUGAGAACAGUUAAUAAGUUACAGGAGAGACCUCAAGGCAGAAUCAGGACAGGGCAAACAAAGAUCCCACUAUGUGAGGUUUCGGUGGGGUAACCUACAACUCCCUGAUUACUCUGACAGUGGAACAAGGGGCAGACAAGAGGAGCAGAGUGGCAUCCCUAGAGACCCUUCAGCGAUCGGCAUGCUCUGCAGUUAGUGGGCUGCCAGGCAGGCCUGCGAACCAGAGUUGUUGUACAAGCUGGACUGGACAUUCCAGGAACUGGAGAAAACCACAAUAUGCCUUUGUGACGUAGACAAAGUGUGCGUGGAGCGGAUUAGUACAUGCAGAUGUCUCAGCUUGUUCCAGCUGAUUGGCACCAAUCAAUUCCCCCAAAGUCUGGUGCAGAUGUGCUCCAUGUAAAACUAGACUCCUCACUGACAUGAAAAUGCGAGAAAUCGUGAAACCAGUUUUGGAUCGUGGCAGCAAAAGGACAAAUGAGCUCCUUAUGGAUUUUUCCAAAGAGAUGUGGUACCACCAUUUUAGAGUGGGACAGGCGCUGUGAAGAAGGAAGUCUUCCUUUUGAGCACUGUCAGCCCUGAGUCACUGCUGGCUGGAUUUGUACUCCAGCAAUCCCAAGGAAAUCCAGCCUGAGAGGUGGUUAGAUGCUGCACAGCCCGAGCCUUAGCACCACUGACAAGCCAACAUAAAGCUUGCCCUCAGGAGCCAUGAAGGGAGCUCUGCAGAGUGGACAGUACAGGCACUGUGGCAUCACAGCAGUGAGGGAGCUGAACCGGGAGCUGUGAGGUGAAGGUCCCUGUUUAACAGCUUUCCGUUUGUUUACCGAAAAAAUAUUGUUCCAUCAUAAAAAUUCCCAAAAUAGUUCGUGUCUUGACAGACUGACUGGCAGCUGCCCAGCUCUGCAGGAUCCUGCUAAAUGAAAGGAAAUAAAAAGAGCUAAUCUGGUACCCAUGGCCCAAUGCCUGCAGCUUGGGAAUCUGCAAAGGCUCAGGGUUCAGUUGGCCCAUUAGGUACAGGGUAGGGUAGAGAGCCCUUAGGUUGAGAGGCCAGCUUUACCUAUGGCAAAAGCUUUCCCAUGGGUGCUGGGCGGGCUGCUGGGGAAGCUGGGGAUUGCCUCGCUAUGAAUGGCCAGUUUCUGCUUUAUUUUUAUACUGAGAUUUUUUCCCUGUUUCCAGCUCUGCAGAGCUUUCCCUUGACCAGACAGGCUGUCCCACACCAGGGACUGACACUCCAAGGUUUUCAAUUCCUGGGAGCUGCCAAUUGCUCAUUUGGGGAAACUCUUCAUACAGGCAUCAUUUUGGACCAGUGCAGAUCCUAGCCAGCUUAACAUAUUGCUUGCUGUUCCAGAAGUCUUAGGAUGACAACCUACUGUUGCUGCAGAUUGUGAUGAUCUUAUUGUGCAUAAAAGUAUCAAAGAGCAAGUGGCACCCAAGUCAGAACUGUUCUUCCUAGGUAGAGCGAAAGGCCACUGUGAAGCCCUGCAGCAGUGACCAAGGGACCAUGCACAUUGUGACUCACAGCGCAGAGAAUCAGCAAACCCAGAUUAGGUCAUGCAGAAAUUGAGCCUCUGUGGAAAGAACCUAUCUACACCAAAUUGCAGAUGUGUCCUCAGCUGCAGUUAGCUUCUCCAUGGGCCAUGAUCAUGGCACUCAGAGCAGGUCUGCUUUAGGCAGGGACAAGAGAAAAUGUGUGCUUCGGAUCAUUCCCGGCAACAGCCCCAUGGGAGUCUCUAUUCCUUCUUUAGACAUUUCAGCACCAGGCCUCCAAGCCGGGCCAGGACUGAGCAGUGGAGCUGGGUGGGCUAGAGGGUGACUGUUACCCACCAUGAUUAGGGGAGACAAGCACCUCUGAAAUUGACACAGCCUCAGUCGGGCUCACUGUGAACAAUCAUAGAAUCAUAAAGGAUGGAAAAGAGCUUUGAAAUAAUUUAGUCCAACCAUCAACCUGUCACCAU